GCCAUCUUCAUCUCCGCCUCCUCCCCAAAGUGUUAUUUUUCCUCGCUCCUCCCGAAGCUCCGCCACGCCAACCUCGAUCUCCGCCGCCACCUCCCACCCCUACCUCUGCGGUGGUCCUGCGCCUUCUCUACCCCGACCUACGGCGGCUCUCCCCCCAUCUCGAUCUCUGCUCCCAUCUCGAUCUCUGCUGAUGGUCCUGCGUCCUCACCACCCUAACCUCGGGAGAAGCUCCUUCGACCCACUUCCUUCCCCGACCUCCGCUGCGCUCCGGCGUUCUUCACCGUGGUGACGCCCCAAUCCAUGCCGGGUGCCGGUUGUACAUGCUGGAUUAGGAGGUUUGUACAUGUGCUGGAAGAAAUACUUCUCUUUUAGUUUAUAUGGAUGUGCUUACGUAUAUAUGUACUGGCACAUCUAGCCGGAACAUGAUUGGGAUGUCAGUUUCGCUACUACGCGCCUGUGUCUUCGUGCCAUAUACUUGGAGUAUAUAUCUAGCAUAUCAAGCCACCAGAGACAAGCAAUACUUCGUUGAGACAAUAACAACAAUAUGAUCGUUUUGUUGUUAUUGAUGUGGUUGGCACUCACCACAGCAUGCAUGCCUUGUGGCUAUAUAGCAAGUUAAGGUGCCUAUGGGGGCUGCAAAAAUGGAGGGCGUCGCCGACUCGGAUGUUAUGUCCUGCUUAAGCAUGUCAGUAAUGGGUGUCGGGCAUGGACUCCACAUGGAACGCUCUCUUUGCCACAUAAGCGAUGGCCUCAAGCCCCUAUAUGGAAGUAUCCAGUCUCGCUGUUCUACCAUUUCUCUAGAACAAUAUGUACAACUUCGACGGAACACCGACCGCCAGUGCUCCACCUGAGAAUAAACUUCUCACAAGUGAAAUUACUUCUGGUGUUCCAAUGUAGCUAGAUUGUAGAGAAACAUGAUAGCAUCUUAAUAAUCUAGUAAGGUAUUUGUCGAGCUCCCAUUGCAUAAUAUAGAGAAACCACAGAGCUUUUUCUUUAAUUCAUCGAAAAUUGUUUCGCUUCCAGUAUGUAAUUUGUACAAAAAUCAUGAAGUGCUUAUGCAUGCUUGCCUUUUGUUGACAACAUAAUUUUUUAAGUAAAGUAAAGGACAUGUAUUUUCUAAUCACAAUGGUGCAUCCAGUGGAUAAAGGUGUGUACUAUGAUAAAUCUGUACUCCAGACUAUUAUUUUCGUUUGUGAAGAACAGACAAAAUGAGUAAAGCCCGUGGCAGCCAACCAAUUUUGUUACCUGCUCGGAGGAAUGCAGGAGUUUUGUAUAAAUUUCAUCCUAAUGUAGAAUAUUUAUCUAUACAUGUGUUUCUGGUGGAAACUAACACAUUUUAUGCCUAAUUUGUACAUCUCACUGCAAGUCUGAUAUAACAUAGAACACUAAUUAAUCAUAUUCUCUUCAGACUGCAUGCAUUCAUUCUAUAUGUAUUUCGUACAUAUCUAAUGCUGUAGAAGAACUCUUUAGAAUCAUUGGACUCGAAGUCGUCCAUGCCAAUGUAAUUUACGCCAACAUGAUGUUUGUACCAGAAAGGAUCAUGCGUGCUUUCUCCUACCGAUUAUAGCUUGCUAUUGUCACUGAUGUAAAAUUAAAUCUUCAUGGCAUGCGCCUCUUGCUUCCCACUGUUGCAUCCAUUUUGAGAAAAGCUAUGGAAAGGAUAUCAUUGAUAUAUGUAUCUUUUUUUAAGCAAGUACCGCUGAUAUAACUAUGACAUAUAGUUCGUGCAUUGCUACUUUGGUAGCCAGACUUUAAUAAAAGGACCAAAAUCUAUAUUUUUAAAAAUUAAGCUAAUCUUUACUAAUCAGUUCUUUUGUUUUACUUUAUAGAUUGUAAACCAGUUUUUUAAUGGGGCCAGAUUUUUGGUUGGAAGGAAGAAACUACACUCGCUGGGAGGAUUUGGUGGUAAUUUACAAGGUCGUGCAUCAUUUUUCAUGUAACUGGUAGUGGCGACCCAAGUCACAUGUUAGAAGGGAUGUUACUACAACAUUUCCGUCUAAACGUAUGACACUAUGAUCUUUGCAUAUAUAGUGCACUCCCCCAGUAAAUAAAUAUAAGACGUUUUAUAGAUCACUAAAGUAGUGACCUAAAACUUCUUAUAUUUUUGUACGAGUGAGUAAUAUGUUCCUACUAUUAUAUGUUUUUGUCAUUAUUAUGAGAAGAGAUUAAUUAGCAUCUCUGAGAUAUACAUUGUCGA